rnacentral:lncRNA from 1 species
GCAGGAGGCAAGGGCUAGGCCGCCCGUACAGGGCUCGGGGAAGGGCUGGAACCCAGGAAGCCAGGCCAUCCUGACGCCUGCUGGCUCCACAGCCCACGCCCAUCGGCGCCGUGCACUCCGACCUGCCCUCCCAGCCCCCACAUCGGGACAAAGUCCAGCCCCACAGCAAAAACCAGGCGCUGAACUCCACCAAUGGAGAGCUGAAUGCGGACGACCCCACUGCAGGGCAUUCCAACGCUCCCAUCACAGCCCCGGCAGAGGUUGAGGUGGCUGAUGACACCAAGUGCUGCUGUUUCUUCAAGAGGAGGAAGAGAAAAUCACUGCAGCGGCACAAGUGACCCAGGCGCUCUUGGCAUGGGACUGUCCUCGAUGUUGCCCUCGGGUCAGCUUGUCCCCGAGGCCAUGGGCCACCUACAGGCCGGCCAGCGACUAGCUGCAGCCCCAGUUAGACUGCAGGGCCGCCUGGCCCAGACGUGGGUCCCUUCCUUCACGUAAGACUUUGGCCGAAAUUUCUACACCUGUGUCUAGUCCUCUCCUCCAAGAGCAUUAACUAUUUAAACAAGAAACAAAGGAACCCAGAGGCCCGCUGCCCUCCCCGUCUGCCGAGUGAGUAGCGAGACCGGGCUGGAUGCUGCGCCGCCCGUUAGCCUCAUGAAGUCCAUUUUGUCUCCCUUGAUCCAAAGGCCAUUUCCUCGAGGGGGCAGGGGCAGGGGCAGGGCCAGGCCCAGCCCUGGAGGCGCUGCCCACGAGGGGACCCUGGCACUGCUGUGGGAUGAGACCGGCUCGGUCCAACCCCAGACCAAAGGGGAAGGCGGGGCGGGGCGCAGUCCGGCUGGAGCCAGCCCCCCAACCAAAAUGCUGCACCAAAGCUCGGCUGGAGGCAGCCCUGUGCCAGAGGGUGCACCUGCUCCCGGAGACACCCCGGCCCCUGGGUGGGUGUCCACUGCCCCUGCCUGGGAUCUGGGCCGGCUGGGCCCUCACUGCGCCAGCUGCAGCUGGGGCUUCUGGUCUCGCGCCCGCCAGUGGGGCACAGCUGCGGGAGACAGAUCGCUUAAAGCCCUGCGACCCGCAGGUGUUGCUGGUUGCUGGUGGGGCAGCCGCAGAGCCAGGUGGCGACCCCUGCAGGACCCGGGAAACUGCUGGGUGGGCGAGGUGCCCACUUCCAAGGUGGUGGUCAUUCAGGCGUAGUUCUUGCUUUACAAAGUGUACAGAAAUGGCAUUUACGUUUCUCUGACGCUUCCUUGAAGCCAUAGAAUUUAGGGGCUUUUUUAAGAAAAUUAAAAAAAAAAAAUCACU